GAUGAACGCUGGCGGCGUGCCUUAGGCAUGCAAGUCGAACGGGAAGUCUUCGGACUUCUAGUGGCGGAAGGGUGAGUAACGCGUGGGAACGUACCUAUUGGUGGAGAAUAGCUCGCCGAAAGGCGGGAUAAUUCUGCAUAAGACCGCAAGGUGAAAGGGCUUAACCGCCCGCCGAUAGAGCGGCCUGCGUCCUAUCAGCUUGUUGGUGAGGUAAAGGCUCACCAAGGCGACGAUCCUUAGCUGGUCUGAGAGGAUGAUCAGCCACACUGGGACUGAGACACGGCCCAGAUGCCUACGGGAGGCAGCAGUGGGGAAUAUUGGACAAUGGGCGAAAGCCUGAGCCAGCAAUGCCGCGUGAGUGAUGAGGGCCUUAGGGUUGUAAAGCUCUUUUACCAGGGAUGAUAAUGACAGUACCUGGAGAAUAAGCUCCGGCUAACUCCGUGCCAGCCGCCGCAGUAA
rnacentral:rRNA from 1 species